rfam:Streptomyces acidiscabies strain NCPPB 4445 genomic scaffold scf_64481_235.1, whole genome shotgun sequence.
CGAACACAUCCACCAACGAAACGGCAGGAGCGGGGGACCCACAGGCAGUUCCGCCUGGUCCGGUCUUCCCGGAGCAGGCUUGGGGUAAAGCGGUGCCUCGGCGCCGCCGGACAUCUCCUGUCCGCACCCGACAGCUCACCUCGUAGGCGCAGGAGAGGAAAU